ACCGGUGAUGUCUUUACGGUACU
rnacentral:siRNA from 1 species